rnacentral:SRP_RNA from 1 species
GCCGGGCGCGGUGGCUCACGCCUGUAAUCCCAGCACUUUGGGAGGCUGAGGCGGGUGGAUCGCUUGAGGUCAGGAGUAGAGACCAACCUGGCCAACAUGGCGAAACCCCGUCUCUA